UACAGAGGGUGCAAGCGUUGUUCGGAAUUAUUGGGCGUAAAGGGCGCGUAGGCGGUGCGGUAAGUCUGUAGUGAAAUCUCUGGGCUCAACUCAGAGUCUGCUGCAGAAACUGCCGUGCUUGAGUGUGGGAGAGGUGAGUGGAAUUCCCGGUGUAGCGGUGAUAUGCGUAGAUAUCGGGAGGAACACCAGUGGCGAAGGCGGCUCUCUGGGCCCUACCUGACGCUGAGACGCGAAAGCGUGGGGAGCGAACCGG
rnacentral:rRNA from 1 species